rnacentral:rRNA from 1 species
UACGUAGGUGGCAAGCGUUGUCCGGAUUUACUGGGCGUAAAGAGCGCGCAGGCGGUCGUCCAAGUCGCGUGUGAAAGCCCCCGCCUCAACUGGGGAGGGUCACGCGAUACUGGUCGACUCGAAGGCAGGAGAGGGUAGUGGAAUUCCCGGUGUAGUGGUGAAAUGCGUAGAUAUCGGGAGGAACACCAGUGGCGAAGGCGACUACCUGGCCUGUUCUUGACGCUGAGGCGCGAAAGCUAGGGGAGCAAACGGG